GACGAACGCUGGCGGCGUGCUUAACACAUGCAAGUCGCACGAAGUGGCGAACGGGUGAGUAACGUGUAAUCAACCUGCCCUUCAGAGGGGGACAACAGUUGGAAACGACUCCUAACACCGCAAACUGAAGGGGGUGAUUGCGUCUGAUUAGCUAGUUGGAGGGGUAACGGCCCACCAAGGCGAUGAUCAGUAGCCGGUCUGAGAGGAUGAACGGCCACAUUGGGACUGAGACACGGCCCAGACUCCUACGGGAGGCAGCAGUGGGGAAUCUUCCGCAAUGGACGAAAGUCUGACGGAGCAACGCCGCGUGAGUGAUGACGGCCUUCGGGUUGUAAAGCUCUGUUGAUCGGGACGCGGUACCGGAAUAGAAAGCCACGGCUAACUACGUGCCAGCAGCCGCGGUAAUAC
rnacentral:rRNA from 1 species